GUCCACGCCCUAAACGAUGUGUGCUCGCUAUCUGUACGUUUACGUAUGGGUGGCCAAGCUAACGCGAUAAGCACACCGCCUGGGGAAUACUAUCGCAAGAUUAAAACUCAAAGGAAUUGACGGGGACCCGCACAAGCGGUGGAGCAUGUUCUUUAAUUCGAUGAUACGCGAGAAACCUUACCAGCCCUUGACAUGUACAUUUUGAUUUCUGGAAACAGAUUUCUCGGUUCGGCCGGGUGUAUGCAGGUGUUGCAUGGCCGUCGU
rnacentral:rRNA from 1 species